GGGUGAAAGCAGGGGACCGCAAGGCCUUGCGUCGAUGGAGCGGCCGAUGCCGGAUUAGCUAGUUGGUGAGGUAAAGGCUCACCAAGGCGACGAUCCGUAGCUGGUCUGAGAGGACGACCCAGCCACACUGGGACUGAGACACGGCCCAGACUCCUACGGGAGGCAGCAGUGGGGAAUCUUGGACAAUGGGCGAAAGCCUGAUCCAGCAAUGCCGCGUGUGGGAAGAAGGCCCUCGGGUUGUAAACCACUUUUGGCGGGAAAGAAAUGGUCUGUGCUAAUACCACGGAUUGAUGACGGUACCCGCAGAAUAAGCACCGGCUAACUACGUG
rnacentral:rRNA from 1 species